GACGAGACUAAGUUUCUCUUUCCACCUCUCAUAGCCGCACCUCAAACCCAUUUCUAACUUAUUUAUCUUAGGGUUUUCCAAUCAUGUCUAAUAAAAACCCAGAAUUUGAUUUCAUGUACUACUAGAAAUAGAAGUGAUGGUUGAAUCAGAACAAUCUGGGACCAGUGAAUCUCAUGGUGUUGUUGUUGAUUAGAGAUUCGCAGCAUCUUGCUUUAAGGGAUAUGAUGCAUGUGUGCUCUUGCUGAAUCAGAUUCGAAAGGGUCUUUGUGGAUUUCCAGAAUUGGAGAUGGAAGAAUAGUACUGCUGCAGAUGAUGAGAAUAAUAGAGUUGGAAAUUUCAGAACGGGUUCUAGUUCAAGUUAAAGAAUCCCAAGCGUGUACUUUCUUAUGGUAAUCAAGAACUCACUUUUUCCUUGGUGUUGGACGAAAUAACCAUGGAUUAGAAGGUUGAGGUUAAGGGACCUUCAAAUUUCAAUAAGCGUCCACAAUCAGGAGUUCAUUGUCAGCUUAAGGGAACUUCAAAUUCCAACAGGAGGCGACAAUCAAGAUUUCCUUGUAAGUGCUCGGGCCAUGUGUUGUUUAUUCCUUCCAUGUUCUAUUAGAUUUGCAGGUGGUCAAUGUAGUCUAAUUCAUUUUAGACGAAGCAUGUUUGUUCAUUAGUUCUCUUGUUAAAGGUUCACAUUUCUAAUGGUUUAAAUGCUCAUGAUGUACAUACUGACUAAUGAUGUGGUUGUGUAUAUAAUAACGCUUUACGUCUUCAAACACAUGAUCUGAAAUCGACCACGUUGGAUUCUGAAUCGUAUAUGUGGUAUAUCCUGUGGUACCAUCCUGGCGGCUUCAUAUGCUUGGCAGUAAAAAAUAUCAUAUGUUUUAUGCUUGGCAGUUCUUAUGCCAUAAUUGGCUAUUCUGAUUUGAUUUACUGAAAAGAGGUUUUGUUAGUGAAGCUUUUGUUACUAAGUUUGAUCCUUUACUAUGAUUAUUUGGUACUUAUCUACCGGGUUCAUAGAUCUAGCCUUCCUUGCUUACAUUUUCUUGUUAAAUACCUUUGACCGUCUCAUUCUUUCAUAUGGAGUGCAAUUAGCUAGGAUACUGAUUUCUAAGCAUGAAGUUUCAUAGUUCUCUUAAAGUUAUUUUCAUUGUGAUUUUGAACAUUCUUCUUUGCAAUCCAUUAAGAAUAAUGACACUUGUUUGCUAAUGUCUGUCUGUGGUCAAAAGUCUAUCUCUUCCUGACUUGUCUUUGCCUGGCAUAAUAUAAAUAUAAGAUUACGAGGAUCUAAAGGAAAGUCGAAUGUUCAUUUGACUAUUACUAAGUUGUGUUAAGAAGAUCUCAAAGUCGAAUUAUUCGAUUGAUCCACUUAUCUAAAAUAUCACGUGUUCAAUUCAUCCUCAAAAUCUUCCAUCUUUUGGCUUAAAUUUUUCGUUACUUGACAAAAUAUAAGGAGUUUGUUACCCACUAGAAUUACUUGGAUUAGUGAGCUCUUGAGGGUGUUCUAGAAUAAGUUUCAUGUUCCUGAAAGUUACAUAUAUGUUUGGAUAAUAAAUUAUUUAUCUAGGUGCAACGCUCCUAUUCCAUGAAGUGCAUUUAACGGUGAUGGUUCAGUAAUUGCAUAUGCGAUAAGCAACUCUAAGCAACAUUUUUUUGAACUUUCCGAUUUUCUUUCAGUUUAACUCUUGGACUCAUCAUUAUGUUGAUAUGUAACAAGUGUUAUGUUUUGGGACAACGAUGGAAAACAAAGACUCAAGGUUUGACCAUCUGCUGUUUUGGAUAUUGAUUUGUCUUCAUUAGUCAAAGCUCACUAUGUAAGAAUGUUGUAUGGAUUGCAGUUGUGCUUAUACUGGAAAUUUCUCCUCCAUUUCUUCUUUAAAAGUAUUAGCCUAUAUGUUGUCAUAUUUUUUUUUCUUGCUUUCUUAGUCUUCUUAGGUAACUAUUGGUCGAUGAUUCAUUAACUUUUGUUUUUGAAAAUUUCGGGAGAAGUUUGGCCACUUGGUUCCACAAGGAAACAAUUUCUGAGGUUCUACAAUAGUGAGUUCGAAGUAUCUAUCCAAUGACUUGUGUUUUUUUCUUCUCCAACUCUUUUCUUGUCUUGUUUACUAUUAAUUUUGCAAAUUCAAGCUUUUUGCUUAAUUCUUGACUCCCUUGAGUGAUGGGAGGUUCCCACCUGAUUUAAAAUCUGUAGUGGAUGAUGGAUUGAUACAUGUUGGCAGGCAUACAACUAUUUCAAUGGAAAGAUGUUGCUAAAAAACUUGUUGAGCCUGGACUUAUCUUGACGGACUCUUUACUAGGAUUAUUUAUGGAUACCAGUUCAAAUUGAAAUUGUCAAAUUGUUUCGAUGCACAGGUAAUCGAUUGUUAAGUGUGGGCUCAUUUCAUCAUUUGGGAGGAAAGACUGCUAUCACUGAAGGGGUAUGAGUAACUAUCCCAUGAGAUCUUGUCAUCUUUGGUUAGUUCUAAGAAAAAUUGCAGAGUAAUUUCAAUUAUUAUUUAUUUUUGGUUGGUAUGUCAUUGGUAAGAGGUGGGGGUUGAGCUGAAAAUGAUAAAAUAGGUGAGCUGAAAAUGAGACUUCAUUGUUGUUAGUUGUUUUACUUAUGUAGAGUAUUACUUGAUUGCUGAAGUUUGUGUAAUGUGCAAACUGUGUGUAAUGCUGAGAAAGCUUUGGAACUCAUUUGUUAACCAUGGAGGUUACUAUUGAAGCCCAGACUCCAUCUCUCAUCAAAUGUAUUAUGCAUCUGAUUGUGGAGAUCCUUAAAUACAGGUUGCAAACAAGGUACUGAGUAAUCUCUAUCUUGAUUGAUUAGUUUCAUAAUAGUGAUAUUCAACUUAAAAUUGGUAACGGUUGCCUAAGUUGUAGGAUUACUAGAAAUUCUCUCACUGAAAUAACUACAUUGCAGGCUCAAUUGUAUGGGUGUCUGUAGUCAAGGAAUUUGUAUAUACUUCCAGAGAAAUUUUAGUUCUAAAUUUUCUGAAAAUGUCGACUUGUGGGGUAUUUUUUUAUCUUUGGUGAUUGUUGUUUCAUGUUGGACUUGUAGUCUUUUGACCCUUCCAUACAUCUAGAACUCAUAAUUUAAUUUUUUUCUGCAACUUUGCAACUUAAAUGCCAACUGAAUCCAUUUUUUGUAAAUUUUUUUGCAUCAGGUGCACAAUUAUGAAGUGUUGGGUUAGUUCAUUUUACUGCAGGUGUACCAAGUGUGUGGGGUUAGUUCAACACCAGGCAGUUUAUCAUUUUGCUGGUUUGCACUUUUCUUUAAGACACUUUGAACUUAUUGGGGAUAGUUGCUCUUCUCUUUAAGAAACCUUGAACUUAUUAGGAUUUGUAUUGGUGUGAAUUCAGAAUUUGAAUCUCUAUGAAUCUAUAUGAUUUUGAAUCCAAGUGUAAUUCAAUUAUAAAUUGUGUAAUGAAUACAUUGAAUUACUAAUGGAAAAGGCAUUUUAUAUUUAUGA